CACUGUGAGCUGCCAGGACUGCAGUGCCCAGGCCGUGCCACCCUGCCAGGAGCAGGGCUGUGUCUGUGGGAGGGAGCCCGGAGCACUGUGAGCUGCCAGGACUGCAGUGCCCAGGCCGUGCCACCCUGCCAGGAGCAGGGCUGUGUCUGUGGGAGGGAGCGGGGUGCGGAGCGCCAUGAGGGGAGCGCAGGCCGCGCACCGGGCCGGGCACUGGGCCAGGGCUCUGUGGGAGCUGCGCUGACACUGGGCCCUGUGUGCCCUCCAGGCCCUCUCCAGGGACAGCCAAUGUCUGGCACUGCUGCGUAAUUGCAUCAAUUGCACGCCGAGUACCUGCGGCAGCUGCUUUGCAGGUCCCCUGCUGUGCGAAUCGCCCUUCACAGAGGCAGAUCUUCCUGUCAGCGACUGACAAGAGGUGCCAGGAGCAGGCUACGAGACUUUUGAAACCUGAACUGUGUUUACAACAGCCUAAACAAGGAGAAAAUAUUCUUAGUACUAAACAGCUCUUGUUUUUCUUCUCCAAAGAAAUAAAGAUGCCUUUCAUAUUUUC